rnacentral:rRNA from 1 species
CAAUAGCGUAUAUUUAAGUUGCUGCAGUUAAAAAGCUCGUAGUUGGAUUUCGGGUGGGAAUGGCCGGUCCGCCGUUUCGGUGUGCACUUGCUACGCCCACCUUGCUGCCGGGGACGUGCUCUUGAGUUCACGCUCGGGACACGGAGUCGGCGAGGUUACUUUGAGUAAAUUAGAGUGUUCAAAGCAGGCCUACGCUCUGAAUACAUUAGCAUGGAAUAACACGAUAGGACUCUGGCCUAUCUUGUUGGUCUGUAGGACCGGAGUAAUGAUUAAGAGGGACAGUCGGGGGCAUUCGUAUUUCAUUGUCAGAGGUGAAAUUCUUGGAUUUAUGAAAGACGAACUACUGCGAAAGCAUUUGCCAAGGAUUUUUUCAUUAA